AGCAGCCGCGGUAAUUCCAGCUCCAAUAGCGUAUAUUAAAGUUGUUGCAGUUAAAAAGCUCGUAGUUGAAUUUCGGGGUCAGUAGGUCGGUCGUGCCACUGGUAUGAACUGGUUUUACUGAUUCCUCCCUCUUGAAGAACUGUAAUGCCAUUAAUUUGGUGUUGCAGGGAAUCAGAACUGUUACUUUGAAAAAAUUAGAGUGUUUAAAGCAGGCUUUAGCUUGAAUACAUUAGCAUGGAAUAAUGAAAUAGGACGUUUGAUCCUAUUUUGUUGGUUUCUAGGAUUGACGUAAUGAUUAAUAGGGAUAGUUGGGGGCAUUAGUAUUCAAUUGUCAGAGGUGAAAUUCUUGGAUUUAUUGAAGACUAACUACUGCGAAAGCAUUUGCCAAGGAUGUUUUCAUUAAUCAAGAACGAAAGUUAGGGGAUCGAAGACGAUCAGAUACCGUCGUAGUCUUAACCAUAAACUAUGCCGACUAGGGAUCGGAUGAUGUUAAUUUUUUAAUGACUCAUUCGGCGCCUUACG
rnacentral:rRNA from 1 species